rnacentral:rRNA from 1 species
GUAGGGAAUAUUGGGCAAUGGAUGCAAGUCUGACCCAGCCAUCCCGCGUGCCGGAAGAAGGCCCUCAGGGUUGUAAACGGCUUUUGACGGUGAAGAAUCGACAGGAUGCGUCCUGUUUUGACGGUAGCCGUUGAAUAAGCACCGGCUAACUCCGUGCCAGCAGCCGCGGUAAUACGGAGGGUGCGAGCGUUGUCCGGAUUUAUUGGGUUUAAAGGGUGCGUAGGCUGGAAGGUCAGUCAGCGGUGAAAAGCUGUCGCUUAACGAUAGUCUUGCCGCAGAUACUUCCUUUCUUGGAUGAGGAGGAGGCCACUGGAACGGAUGGUGUAGCGGUGAAAUGCAUAGAUAUCAUCCAGAACACCGAUUGCGAAGGCAGGUGGCUGUACCUUAAUCGACGCUGAUGCACGAAAGCAUGGGGGGCAAACAGGAUUAGAAACCCGAGUAGUCC